AGAGUUUGAUCAUGGCUCAGGAUGAACGCUAGCGGCAGGCCUAAUACAUGCAAGACGAACGGUAAGCGGUGUAGCAAUACAACGCCAAGAGUGUCGUAAGGGUGCGUAACACGUAUGCAAUCUGCCCUCAACAGGAGGAUAGCUCGCCGAAAGGCGAAUUAACACUCCAUAGGAUGAUAGAGUGGCAUCACUUAGUCAUUAAAACUCCGGUGGUUGAGGAUGAGCAUGCGGAUGAUUAGCUAGUUGGUGAGGUAACGGCUCACCAAGGCGAUGAUCAAUAGGGGAACUGAGAGGUUGAUCCCCCACACUGGCACUGAGAUACGGGCCAGACUCCUACGGGAGGCAGCAGUAGGGAAUAUUGGACAAUGGGCGCAAGCCUGAUCCAGCCAUGCCGCGUGCAGGAAGAAGGCUUUCUGAGUUGUAAACUGCUUUUGCCAGGGGAUAAAAAGUCCCUGCGGGGAAAAUUGAAGGUACCUGGUGAAUAAGCCACGGCUAACUACGUGCCAGCAGCCGCGGUAAUACGUAGGUGGCAAGCGUUGUCCGGAUUUAUUGGGUUUAAAGGGUGCGUAGGCGGUUCAUUAAGUCAGCGGUGAAAUACGACAGCUUAACUGUCGAGGUGCCAUUGAUACUGGAGAACUUGAGUACUGAUGAGGUAUGCGGAAUGGACGGUGUAGCGGUGAAAUGCUUAGAUAUCGUCCAGAACACCGAUAGCGAAGGCAGCAUACUAAGGAGUAACUGACGCUGAGGCACGAAAGUGUGGGGAUCAAACAGGAUUAGAUACCCUGGUAGUCCACACUGUAAACGAUGAUCACUCGAUGUUGGCGAUACACAGCCAGCGUCUUAGCAAAAGCGAUAAGUGAUCCACCUGGGGAGUACGCCGGCAACGGUGAAACUUAAAGGAAUUGACGG
rnacentral:rRNA from 1 species